CUGAAACUUGAACAUUCUCAGGGAAGUUUGUCAUGAUCCUUUGUUGUUUAUCUAUAGUUAGAUUUCAAAUAUGUGUCACUCACAAGUAAGUGUUAUGUAAUUAAUUUUAGGUUCUAGAGGGAAAGUUGCAUGCCAGGCAUUGAUUCUGCUGUUGAUGUCCUGCUGACACACAUGUGCUUUUGCAUUGCAGACAAUAGAUGACUUGCUGCGCUGUGGGAUUUGCUUUGAGUAUUUCAACAUUGCAGUGAUAAUCCCCCAGUGCUCUCACAACUAUUGUUCUCUCUGUAUAAGAAAAUUUUUGUCCUAUAAAACUCAGUGCCCAACUUGUUGCGUGGCAGUAACAGAGCCAGACCUGAGAAAUAAUCGCCUCUUAGAUGAACU
rnacentral:lncRNA from 1 species